rnacentral:rRNA from 1 species
UACGGAGGGUGCAAGCGUUAUCCGGAUUCACUGGGUUUAAAGGGUGCGUAGGUGGGCAGGUAAGUCAGUGGUGAAAUCUCCGGGCUUAACUCGGAAAGGUCAACUGAUACUGUGCGGCUAGAGUGCGGAAGGGGCAACUGGAAUUCUUGGUGUAGCGGUGAAAUGCGUAGAUAUCAAGAGGAACACCUGCGGCGAAGGCGGGUUGCUGGGCCGACACUGACGCUGAUGCGCGAAAGCUAGGGGAGCGAACGGG